AGUAAACAGCCUUUUAUGCAGGAGGAGAUGUAAGGAAAUACUGCUCUGCUCACGCUCUGCCAUUGAGUUAAGGUUCCAGGCACAGCAGAAGGCUGCUCCAAGGCGGAUGCUUGAAAACGGACCUGGAAAAGUGUGUGUGAGCUGGAAUUGUCUGGAGGGUAUUUGAGAGACCCAUUCAUUUCAUAGGAAAAGUUCCAUUCCAGUAAAAUUGUCCACUCAUAUUUGAUGAAGGAGAGGAAAGGAGCAGCUGCCGUUAUUCCCUGGAGAAGUUGCUUUGCAGAUCCCCAAUUUUGGAAAGCUACAGAUGGAAGUGGUUCUGAUUAGCCCCAAGCAGGUAUUUACAAGAAUCACUUCCAGUCCAUAUUGCCAGGAGAGGAUCUGGAAAGGCCACAGGGACUGCAGAUGGAAACCCCACUGCCCAGGGCUGCUCUGCUCUGCGCAGCAGGCAGUGAGGGGGAGGCAUGAAAGCCCGGUGGAGAAGCUGAGCACAGACGGUGCUAGGAAACGAGGCAGGGCACAGGGUGCUGAUGCUGGUGGCAAACGCGUACCAAACCGACUCUGCUCUGACGUCUGUGUGAUGGUGAAGAGUCGAAAUGUUGCACUUCAGUGAUUCUCCAGACCAUGCCUGUACUGGGGAAUAAAUUCAGGUACAGUGAGGAGGAAAACACCACAAAUGUCACAAGAAGAAUUUGUGUGAAUCCUGGCAACCCUGCAUGAGCUCUAUGGGUGUGAGAACGUGUCGGAGAUCCCUGCUGCCAGAGCUCCUGACUGUCACUGCUACCAACUGGCACAGCACCAGAUGGGAAUACGCCGUCAGCUCCACUACCUUGCUCAAUCAAGGAAACCAACCAGCCUGGAGAACACAAGGACCAUCUGUAGAGGAGCACGUAGGAGAUGUCACAGCAACCCGCUGCAUUCCCUGGCUUCCCACUGGGCUGCGCACUGCUGGUGGGGAGCUCCUGUCUGCGUGCACCUGUGGCUGCGUGAUGGGGAACGGCUUUGGCUUCAGGAGCAACCCCAGCACAGGCUGGACUCGGGCCAGAUGGGAGCCGGGAACAGCUUUUGUGACAAUGAUGGAUGCGGUGUAGCUGCCGAUGGAUGGAGAGCAGACAUCCCCUUGUAUCCUUCCAGACCACUCCAGCAUUCAGUCCUGUGCUACCAUCCUGCCUGAAGGAAGAUGGAUCCAGGAAUACAACAACUGCAGGGUACUUUGCACAAUGCCACGGAUCAUGCCAUACCUGCACCUGAUGCACAAGCAUCACUUUGGGACUCAGUCCGGGGGAAAAGGCCUCUGAUUUACUACUUGAGCCAAAAGUCCUUGCUGUAUGUUGUGGUAUGUUGUGGUAUAUCUCUGGAUGCUAUGUGUGGGACCAGAACAGUGGGCUGUGCCAGCAGCAGGGCAACCCUCAGAGCACUAAGAGAUACUGGAAGAAGGAGGGCAGAAAUCACUUCACCUGAGGGCUUCAGCAUGGGUUGCCAUGCAAAGUGUGGGCUGGAGAACCACAGCUCAGGAAUAAAAGCUGCUGCUGAGAAGCCACAAAACCACCGAGACAAUUCCAGCUGGCAGCUCAGAUCCAUCAACGUCUCAUUAAACAAAUGCCUCCCUUACAAAAGGAAGAGGGGAAAAAACCAAGCUGCGUGUGUUUCUGAGCGGCCAUUUCAGAACAGAGCGCAGGAGUCAGGGAAAAACUGCAAAUGGGAAUUUGCAAACACUGGAGUCGCUGAUGGAGAGCUCUGGCAAAGGCACAGUGCACUGCGAGCAGCAGCUGUAGAGAUGGACAGAGAUUUCCUCAGGUGGAUAAUCCCCUGAGCAGCAAAGGUAAAUUACAGGUGUGUUUGUCAGUGGAGCCCUAUGUGGCUUUCACUUCAUUAUAUCAAACUUGGUGUGCACAUGUGCAUCACUGCCAGGACUGAAAUUUCCCUGUCCCAGACAGUGAGAGGCAUUUUCAGCAGCUACGUUGUGCUGCAGCGCUGCCAGCCCGGGGAGUGUGCUGAGAUGAAUGAUGCCACCUCUCAGUCCUGCUCACAGAGCAGCUGAACUCUGCGUAGGGGCUGCAAAUAGGUGCAGGCAGGAGUGGAUGUAGGAUGGGAAGCUCUCACCUCUCAACCCUCAGCUGAGACUCAGCAGCCGGGGAGCUCAGUGCUUGCAGCUGCUGCUCUGCAAAGUAAGCAGAGGAACCCUUUCCAGCAGCAGGCUGAGCUGAUCUCAGCUGCUCCAAUGGGGCAGUGGUGUGGGGAGGUGGGCUGCACCCCAGUAAUAGUGGGGACCCCAGGAAGGAUGCUCAUGCAUCCAUGCGGUGCUGGUGGCUUGCUGGGCAUGACAGAUAGGAGCAACCUUCAAACCCUUACAUCCCACUUGGGGUCCAGAGGGCCUCAGGAUACCCCACCAGUUUCAGAAAGCCAUGGGGGCAAUCCCCAGCAAGAAACAGCAAUGGAACGCUCUGGCAAUGCCACCUCCUCUCUUAGCACCUGCAGCCCUUCCACUGGAAAAAAUGAAUGGCUUGUAGGAUACAAUAACAUUAUUAUAAAUCAAGUUGUAUUUCUAUUAUAAUGACGAAGGGAGAACACACUUUCUAUAUGCUAAAUAUAUUCGUGUGGUUAUAUGAUAGUAGCAUUCCUUAAAUUGAUGAUAUUUAUCAGCUGAGGAAAACAAAUUUCUAUAUACAGAAGAAAAUAAUUAAAGGAAAGGGGAGAAUAAUAGCAGCUUCACAGCAGUCAAGUCUGGCAAUGUCUUAAGAGAAAUAUUGAUGUUCUUUUGGAUGCGUGUCAAGUAGAAAUGGAAAGAUAGCAGGGCAAUUUCUUCUGCAGUUAUAACUACAAAGGAUCUUUAAACACUUGCAGUCCUACAUGCCCAGGAUGAAAUUUUGUUUCCAGCAGACUGACUUCUCCUUGCUUUCUCUGAUGGGAAAAAGAAAAAUUGGUUACAAGGGAAUUUUUGUUUAUUUGUCUUUUUGGAACCUGUUGAGUGUCAUCUAUACUCUGCUUAACCUGACAUAUCGCUGCAAAAAAAAAGAGGAAAAAAUACAACCUGCAAGUACAGGAUCAUUGUGGCGAAGCCCAGUGGUGCUGUUACACUUAUUUAAGGAGGCUAUUGGCUUUUCCAUCAUUUCCCCUCUUUUUUUUUUUUUUUUUUUUUUUUCCAGCUGCUGAUGAUCUGGCUGAGAUGUUAGCCUGGGGUGGCACCCGAGUGGGUGGAACAUCCCUAACCCGUGGGCUUGCUUUGCAGAGUAAGGAGUGCAGAGCUGGGAGGGGCUGGAGCACAGCCAUUGCAGCAGCACCCAGCCCAUUUGGACUCAUGGUAGCACCCAAGGCAUGUGGGGGAGGCAUGCAGCACCUCGUUAUCCACCUGCCAGGGCCAGACAGGACGGCUGCAGAGCCACAGGUGUGUGCAGCACUGCUUAUAUAUUCACCUGAUAUAUACACCUCAGAGGUGCUGUACGGGCCUUUAUUACAAUGCUGGCAUAGAGUGCUGUUGUUGCUAAAGCUGUCAGGGCUUAUAUCACUUGAAAAAUAAUUGUCCAGUCUCUGAGGACCUGGGUAGUGCUUAACACAACCGUUUUUCUAGGCCAUAAUAUAAAGCAUGACGUUGAUGUACUGCUACUGCACCUCAUAACUGAAUUCUAGUGCCUGCGUUCCUUGGGUUUAUUAGGGACGUUCAGAUUGAAAUUGCAAAUCUCCAUGCAAAGCUCUCUGCCAUUGCUCCCAGGUGGGGCACCCACAGGGCUCCAGUCUCACCAAUGGCCGUGCUGCUCAGGGGGUGCUCAGGAGCCCGGGUGUGAUGCACAGAGGGUUGCAAGGUAAGCAGGAGGCAGUGGGGAAUAACAAAAGGCUGAUGAAGUUUUCCUGAACUAUGUGUUCUUUUUAAUUCUCGCUUCCUUUAUAGAUGCUCUGAUAAACAGCAAACAGCUUGUUAACAGUAGCAAAAUGGAAAUUUCCCCUGCACAGUAUAAAUUUCAGUGAUAUACACGAAUAUAAAACAGUGUAAAGCUACACUCUUCUUUACAAAAACAAAUGUGCCUCAACAUUGUACAAGAGACACUAAUACAGUACAGCCAUUAAGAAAUAUAUAACGUUGACAUUAAUUGAAGUGAAACGAGGUGUGCUUGGAUGAAUAGAACUCAGGGAAACAGGUAAAUUGUGCUCGUAAGUGAGGGAGGGACUCUGCAAUAGGAUGGCUGUUGUGCAUGGUGUGACUGACAGGUCAUUAUUGCCAUCCCUGGAAACAGCCAUGGGCUCAGCACUGUGUAGCACUGGUCAUAUGCGCCCCUGAAUUGCCUCUGUUGUUUGCUUGUGCAGCUCACACCCUUCUUUCGUACCUGCAUCCUUUUGGUGACAUCACGUUUUUUAGUGUGUUUUACUGCCCAGUACCAUAUAACACAUGGAUCUACUCACCUAAUGAGGCAGUGGUUGUUGGCAUCCCAAUGUAGAGGAGCAUAAUGGCUCGGUGAAGACAUGUUUAUGAACUCUAAUGCAACUUUUGUGGUACGUUUUAUGUAAUUGAAAAAUUAUCAACCUGACAUUAAAACAAGUCUUGGUUUAAGGGAGUGUAUUUUUCGCUAAUGGAUUGCUACAUUUCAUUUCCAUAUCCUUUUUCCAGCAAUUUUGUGUUUAAAUAUCAUUGCCCCUUUGAAUUAUGUAAGGCUUUUUUCACUGUGAUGUUACAGCAAUUUGCCAGCCUCAUGUGUGUAAUUAGUUUAAUUAGCACUACAGCUUUAAUGGGAGCAUUGGCGGCUGCUAUACACGCUCUGUUCUUCACUGGACAAAGUCAAAAGUUGUGUUUCUCAGUCAGCUGCAGCUGAAGAGCUGAGUCCUUCCCAGGCUCUUUGUCCCCAUGUUUUGCCCUUCCAGGGAGCAUCACGUUCUUAAUUUUGGCUGUAAUCCCUGCCUGUGUCCUCUCUCCACUUGGGACACAGGAGUGCACACUGGGCAAGCUCAUUGAACUGGUUUGCUCAGCUGUCAAAGUACAUUCCCUUGGCCUUUCCGAUAAUCACUAAUUAUUAAUAGCGCACAAAAUAAAUAGUAUUCUUACUGUCUUGGGCUGUGCCUGCAUAAUGGAUGGGGAGAAACCAAAGCGAUGCAUCUUCUUAAAACAGAACAUUUCACCAAGCCCAGCAAAAGCUUGACAUUGAAAACAACUCCCGGGGAACUGUCAAAAUGACAAUGGGAAAAGCAUUAACGAUUCAUCCAUGUGCCAUUAGCCCUGCAUGUUAGACCUGACGCUGUGCGAAGUCAAUAGAUCAUUUUUAUGUUCUACGAUAGAAAAACAUUGAGUUCGAAUGGAAGCAUAUGACCUCUAGGCUACAUUAAACCACUAUUAAGAAAAAGAUCAUUAUCUGAAAAGUGCAAAACCUUAUUAAUUCGGUCCGCUUGUCUGUCAGACUUCGAGCAUUUCCAAUCUGUUUCCUCUGGUGUCACCUGGCAAUCGAUGCAUUAACGCUCGGCAGAAGCUCAGCAACUCAAACGCAGCGUUAAGAGAGCACAUUCACCAGUAUGAUCAUCAUCAUUUGUUAAGAAAAUGAUGCUUGUUUUAUAUCUCAACCACUUCUUCCAAAGGUGAUUGUGGCCAAGCCGCAGUUCAGGUCUCUCCUUAUAAAAAGAAACAAUAUACUACUUGGUGUCCUCUGCGUGUUUCAAGAGAAACAACUUCAAGCCAUUAAAGCACACAAGAAUUAACUAUUUU
ensembl:lncRNA